CCAAGGGGGGUAUUGCCUGAGUAACGGCGAGUGAAGCGGCAAAAGCUCAAAUUUGAAAUCUGGCACAUUCGGUGUCCGAGUUGUAAUUUGAAGAAGGUAACUUUGGAGUUGGCUCUUGUCUAUGUUCCUUGGAACAGGACGUCACAGAGGGUGAGAAUCCCGUGCGAUGAGAUGCCCAAUUCUAUGUAAAGUGCUUUCGAAGAGUCGAGUUGUUUGGGAAUGCAGCUCUAAGUGGGUGGUAAAUUCCAUCUAAAGCUAAAUAUUGGCGAGAGACCGAUAGCGAACAAGUACAGUGAUGGAAAGAUGAAAAGAACUUUGAAAAGAGAGUGAAAAAGUACGUGAAAUUGUUGAAAGGGAAGGGCUUGAGAUCAGACUUGGUAUUUUGCGAUCCUUUCCUUCUUGGUUGGGUUCCUCGCAGCUUACUGGGCCAGCAUCGGUUUGGAUGGUAGGAUAAUGACUAAGGAAUGUGGCUCUACUUCGGUGGAGUGUUAUAGCCUUGGUUGAUACUGCCUGUCUAGACCGAGGACUGCGUCUUUUGACUAGGAUGUUGGCAUAAUGAUCUUAAGCCACCCGUCUGAAAACCGGGGGCCAAAAACAUAUAUAAAAAUUA
rnacentral:rRNA from 1 species